rnacentral:rRNA from 1 species
CGGGAGAGGAGAACAACAGGGAUGCCUUAGUAACGGCGAGUGAAGCGGCAACAGCUCAGAUUUGAAAUCUGGCCCUUUCAGGGUCCGAGUUGUAAUCUGUAGAGGAUGCCUCGGCGUCGGCCCCGGUCUAAGUUCCUUGGAACAGGACGUCACAGAGGGUGAGAAUCCCGUACGUGACCGGUGGCUCAGCCAUGUGAGGCUCCUUCGACGAGUCGAGUUGUUUGGGAAUGCAGCUCUAAAUGGGAGGUAAAUUUCUUCUAAAGCUAAAUAUUGGCCAGAGACCGAUAGCGCACAAGUAGAGUGAUCGAAAGAUGAAAAGCACUUUGGAAAGAGAGUUAAAAAGCACGUGAAAUUGUUGAAAGGGAAGCGCUUGCAACCAGACUUGCCCGCAGUUGCUCAACCGGUCUCCCGGCCGGUGUACUCUUCUGCGGUCAGGCCAGCAUCAGUUCGGGCGGUCGGAUAAAGGCCCCGGGAAUGUGGCCUCCUUCGGGGGGUGUUAUAGCCCGGGGCGGAAUGCGGCCUGCCUGGACUGAGGUCCGCGCUUCGGCUAGGAUGCUGGCGUAAUGGUUGUAAGCGGCCCGUCUUGAAACACGGACCU